AUGCUGAAGGACACCGGAUGGGUGCGCAGCUACAGAGCGUUGCAACAUGUAUGGCUGGGUCAAACCAAGGCGACUAAGCUCCGGGAGAAGCGUUCUCCAGCUCGGGAGACGAAGGUGACCACCUUAUCGCCACAACGUGAACAAGGGAUCAGCGGGAGCACCUCGUCGGGCUGCGAGGAAGAGGAGGACGCCGCCAUUGUUUCCGAUCUGGUUGUCCCCGGAGAAGAUGAAGAGGACAAGGGAAGGAGGAGAGCAGAGGUAGCAGAAGGAUCUUGGAGUGGAAGGAUGCAGGGAUUAGAAUAA
rnacentral:rRNA from 1 species